UGUUCUGAGCGCCCUAAAGUGGAUCCGAAUCUUUUGAGACCUUUUGGAUCCUCCCUGUUUGCUGUUCGGGUGAUCCAGAAACACCGAGACUAUUUGACUUGACAGGUUGCAUAUCAGCGCGCAAUCUGGGCGCCCAGAUUUUAUGGAAGCAGUGGCGCACGCAAUAUGGACUGUCUGGCAAGAAAGUCAGCACGAGAUCUGGGCGCCCACAACUUUUGAUGGCUCGAAUCCAGAAAAACGGCGCGUGUCAGAAAAGCGGUUCCUCGUGUUCUGUGCGCCCACAACUUUUGAUGGCCCAGAACUUACGAAGUCAAGAAAAGCUGCGAGUGUCAGAAAAGCUGUCCCUCAAGAUCUGGGCGCCCACAACUUUUGACGGCCCAGACAUACAAAGUCAAGAAAAGCGGCGCACGUGGUCCGACAGGCAGUUGGCGUGCACAAACUUCUGGGCGCUCGGAAACAGUUUUAGGGCACCCGAAAGUACAACCGACAGAGGCUGCCCGAGGCUAUAAAUAGAUGGUAUUGAGGCAUCUCUCAGUAGCAACUUGAUAGUUUAUUUUGAGCUUAAAAACUUCAGUGAUCUUAACACUCUUAGCUCUCAAUUUUCUCUCUAAACUUGAAUGAAAUUUGUAGUGAGAUUUAAUCUUGUAAAAAGAAAGAAAAGCAAAGUCUUGAAGCUUGAAAGAAGAAGGAGUUGGUGUGAAGGCUUGGUGCUUGCUCGCAAAAGCAUCAUCUAGUGGAGAUCAGACAUUCUCGAGUGUUGAGAAGUUGGCGGGGACGUAGGCAAAGUGCCGAACCUCGAAACAAAUUGAUCGUGUGCUUUUCGAGUUUGCAUUUCCUUUAUUUGCAUCGGUUUUUAAUUUGCUUGAUUAUUUGGAUUUUUAUUUUAGAAACCUAAUUCACCCCCCUCUUAGGUUGCCAUUUUGAUCUUCAAUUGGUAUCAGAGCGAGGUCUCACAUUAUUUAGAUUAAAUUCUAAGUGAGAAUGGCAUCCACGGGAAAGAAUAUCGAAGGACAAUCUAUUGUUCGACUACCAUUUUUUGAUGGGACCGAUUAUCCUUUUUGGAAGACUAGAAUGAAGAUAUUCUUUCAAUCUCUAGAUUUUGAUAUUUGGGAUAUAAUCGAAAGUGGUUAUAUCGCUCCAUCAAAAUCAAGAGCGGAAUGGAAUGAAGCCGAAAAAUUUCGCUUUCAAUUGAAUGCUAAAGCUAUCAAUUCAUUCCUUUGCGCUCUUAGUAGAGAAGAGUUUCACCGAAUCUCUACAUGCACAACGGCUUAUUCUGUAUCCUAACUCGAAACGAGGAGCUCCGUUUAAACCCGUUGAAACAAAAGGCUAAGUAGUAGCGAUCUAAGCAGCCCCCGCAGGGUUAAAUCACGUAACUUCCGAAAGAAAAAGAACAGAAAGAAUUUUCAAAACAAACCUUCUCACGUAAGUGAAAAGUUUACAGGGCCAAAGAAUGUUAACAUCGUUCACUAAGGAAAGAACUUAGGAAGUGGAAACUUGGGCAGAGCAAAUCCAGAGGAGUUCAACGCGAAGAACUAAUCAGCUAGCUCGGAAAAACUUUAGUAUCGCUAAAGAAGCGAGCUUGGAAGAAGCGGUAGAAGUGAGAGCCUUCGUUACUGAGGGAAUUCACGUUCUGAAAAGAAAAAGAGUCCUUGUCGAAGCAACAGUAUAAGAAACUCCGCAACAAGUACGCGGAACUCACUAGGUUGUUCAAGUAGUUAAAAAUGAAACAGGUUCAGUACUCGAAGAACCUAUCGGCAUUGGAAUCCAUAGGUUGAAGAACCAUCAUGUGUUUCUUCAAAAGCAUGGUUCAGGCUAAUUCCUUUUAGGAAUGGAUUCCGAAAGUUCGAUAAAUAUUACAAUCAUUUAGAACACUUGUAUAAGCUUUACCUAAGUGAAAGAAGGUAAAACUUAUCAAGUAUUAAACUGUAUUCGUACAAAUAAAAUCUAAGGAAAUGGGAUCUUCAUGGAAGUACUCAUUGAAGAUUAAAUAGGGUUUAGAGAAANAUAAUUUAAGUUAUGAUGAACUUUUAUAAGCUUUCUUUUCUUUAUAUGAUAAUCUACAAAGUUUGGGUCUGAAAUAUACAUCUCUCAAAAAGUAAAAUGCCUUAUUAGAGAUGGAAGUAAACAACUUAAAAUCUUCAACUUCAAAUCCUUCUUUAAUACCUGAAAAUGAGGACCCCUUACUCACGAAAGAGCUUAAACAAGCCAAUGAGACAUGUUAUAGUCUCAAUCAUGAAAAUGAAGCAUUAAAGAAGAAAAUUGAAGGUCAAAAUUUUAAGCCAAACUUUCAUUAUGACAAACAACUUGAAAAACUUCAAGUUGAAAACCAACAACUCAAAGUUAGCUUAGAUGAAGCUAAGAAAAUAAACUCUUGAGAAAUUUGUUGGUGGAACCAAGCAUCUAAAUAUGAUGCUUGGAAGUCAAGUUGUAAACUUCAAAAAGUUUGGGAUAGGUUAUGUUCCUAAUCCAAACAAUGUUAAAUUGACAAAAGCUAAAAAAAGGUUUCUGUUAAAAGUACAAAUCAAAACCCAACUUUGCAUUGCUCCUAUUGUAAUAUUAAAGGACAUCAUAUAUCCUCUUGCAAAUAUAAGAAGAAUCCUAAACUUAACCAAAUUUGGGUUGUGAAAGGUUUAUCUAACUCAAAAGGACCCAAUCUCACUUGGGUACCAAAGUUAAAAACUUGAUUUGUUUUUGUAGGUGUGUCUCCAAUCAAAAGGUGCAAGUGACAAAUGGUACUUAGAUAGCGGAUGCUCAAGACACAUGACUUGGGAUCAAACCAAGUUUAAAUCAAUUGAAAUGAAAGACGGAGGAUUUGUCACCUUUGGAGACAACACGAGAGGAAAGAUCAUUGGAAUCGGCACAAUCGGUGAUGAAAAGGUUAACAUUUCCAAUGUUCUUUUAGUUGAUGGCCUUAAACAUAAUUUACUAAGUAUUAGUCAAUUAUGUGAUAAAGGCUAUUUUGUAAAAUUUGAAGCAUCUCAUUGUAGCAUCCUUGAUCCUUCUACAAAUGAGGUAGCUUUUAUGGGUUUUAGAUCCAAGAAUGUUUAUACCGUUGAUUUAGGCAAACUCUCACAUGAAGGUGAAAAAUAUUUUUCGGUUCAAACUAACGAAUCUUGGCUUUGGCAUAGAAGAUUAGCACAUGCUAAUAUGGACUCUCUUUCUAAACUUUCCAAAAGAAAACUUGUGAAAGGAUUACCUAAAAUAGACUAUGCCAAAGGUGAGGUUUGUAAUGCUUGUGCUCAAGCUAAGCAAGUAAAAUCAUCUUUUAAACCCAAAAAUGUUGUCUCAACAACUAGGCCUUUAGAGUUAAUUCAUAUGGAUCUCUUUGGACCAAUUGAUGUCUCUAGCCUUGGUGGAAGCAACUAUGUUUUCGUAAUUGUUGAUGAUUACUCAAGAUUUACUUGGACUUUAUUUUUAAGACACAAGUAUGAUACUUUUAAAUCCUUCAAGGACUUUGUCUAUCGUGUUCAAAAUGAAAAGAAUUGUAUAAUUUCCAAAAUUAGAAGUGAUCAUGGAGGUGAAUUCGAAAAUCAUAACUUUGAAGAGUUUUGCAAUGAAUUGGGAAUAGAACAUCAAUUUGCUACCCCUCGAACACCUCAACAAAAUGGGGUCGUUGAACGCAAAAAUAGAUCUCUCCAAGAAAUGGCUAGAUCUAUGUUAAUUGAGGGGGAGUUGCCUAAAUAUUUUUGGGCCGAAGCCGUAAACACGGCUUGCUAUAUUAUGAAUCGUGUUCUAAUUCGACCAAUCCUUGAGAAAACUCCUUUCGAAUUAUGGCAUAAUAGAACUCCCAAUAUUGGUUACUUCAAAAUUUUUGGUUGUAAAUGUUUCAUUUUAAACACAAAAGACAAGUUGGGAAAGUUUGAUGCUAAAUCCGAUGAAGCUAUAUUCUUGGGUUAUUCCUCUACUAGUAAAGCUUAUCGAGUGUAUAAUCGACGAACUUUAAUAAUAGAGGAAAGUAUGCAUAUUCUUUUUGAAGAAUAUAAGGGAAAGGAUCUUUCUUAUGAAGAUGAUCUUCUUGACUUUGAGAAGCUAAAUAUAAACUCCACACCCCAAGAAGUUGAACCAUCUAAGAAAAGUGAGGAGUUAAUCUCUAAAGAGAUUGAACCCACUCCCUUACCUAAAGUGUGGAAAUUCGCCACUUAUCAUCCCAAGGACUCCAUCAUUGGAGAUCCAAGUCAAAAAGUCAAAACAAGAUCCUCUCUUAGAUUACUUUGUGACCACUUGGCUUUCAUAUCUCAAAUUGAACCUAAAAAUUUUGUUGAAGCUAGCAAUGAUGAAAAUUGGCUCAUUGCGAUGCAAGAAGAACUUAACCAAUUUGAGAGGAACCAAGUUUGGACGCUUGUGGAAAGGCCAAGUGAUCAUACCGUUAUUGGCACUAAAUGGGUCUUCCGAAACAAGCGAGAUGAAUCAGGUGUUGUGGUUCGAAACAAGGCUAGACUAGUGGCCCAAGGUUUCAACCAAAUUGAAGGAAUUGAUUUUGAUGAAACAUUUGCACCGGUUGCUAGACUUGAAGCUAUUCGAAUUCUUCUAGCAUUUGCUUCUUAUAUGAAUUUCAAAUUAUUUCAAAUGGAUGUAAAAAGUGCUUUCUUAAAUGGAUAUAUUUCCGAAGAAGUUUAUGUUGAGCAACCACCCGGUUUUGAAAAACAUAACUUUCCGGAUCACGUUUUUAAGCUUUCAAAGGCACUUUACGGUUUAAAACAAGCUCCUAGAGCCUGGUAUGAAAGACUUAGCACUUUUCUUACUUCAAAUAAUUUUUCAAGAGGAAAAGUUGACACCACAUUAUUUAUCAAAAUUAAGGAUAAAGAUUUUCUCAUUGUACAAAUUUAUGUGGAUGAUAUUAUAUUUGGUGCUACUAAUGAAUCUCUCUGUAAAGAAUUCUCUAAGCUAAUGCAAAAUGAGUUUGAAAUGAGCAUGAUGGGCGAGCUCUCAUUCUUCCUUGGACUCCAAGUUAAACAAAUGAAAGAUGGAAUAUUCAUCAAUCAAGCCAAGUAUGCAAAAGACCUAAUCAAAAGAUUUGGCUUGGAAAGCUCAAAAGAGACGAACACUCCAAUGAGUGCCUCAACUAAACUUGACAAGGAUGAAAAAGGCAAGGAUGUUGAUAUCAAACUCUACCGAGGUAUGAUUGGCAGUUUACUUUAUCUUACCGCGAGUCGGCCGGACAUUAUGUUUAGUGUUUGCUUGUGUGCUCGGUUUCAAGCUCAACCUAAGGAGUCACACUUAGUGGCUGUAAAGAGAAUUCUUAGAUAUGUUAAAGGGACUCUCAACUUAGGGUUAUGGUAUCCCAAGGGCACUAAUUUUAAUCUCAUUGGCUUUUCAGAUGCCGACUUUGCCGGAUGCAAAGUUGAUCGGAAAAGUACGAGUGGGACUUGUCAAUUUCUUGGUCACUCCUUAGUCUCAUGGUCUUCGAAAAAGCAAAAUUCGGUUGCACUUUCAACCGCCGAAGCCGAGUACAUCGCGGCAGGUUGUUGUUGUGCACAAGUUUUAUGGAUGAAACAAACCCUUGAGGACUUUGGAGUACAUCAAAAACAAGUUCCAAUCAAAUGUGAUAAUACUAGUGCCAUCAACAUAUCUAAAAAUCCUAUUCAACAUUCUAGAACUAAACACAUUGAAAUUAGACAUCAUUUUAUUAGAGAUCAUAUUCAAAAAGAAGAUGUCACUAUAGAAUUUGUGGACACUUAUAAUCAAUUAGCGGACAUUUUUACUAAACCACUUAGUAAGGAUAGGUUCACUCAACUUAGAAGAGAAUUGGGAAUGAUUGACUUAUCUGCUUGAUUUUCUCUUUUUGAUUGACUGUUAUGAUUGCCUUGCAAUUUCUUUUGGAUACACCUUUUGCUUUGCGAAAAUUUCGGACGAAAAAUUUCGGUAGCCCGAAAAUUUCCGGGCGCCCGAAACAUGCGUUGACCGCGGUGCCCCGUCUGACCGACUUAACGGGUUACCGGGUUCCGGAUCCGGGCGACCGAUCCAACCGGCAACUCGUGCCCGAAAAUCCGCCUUGACCGCCGCGCCGCUUUGACCGCCUUAGCGGGUUCCGGGUUGCGGAUCUGGGCGACCGCGUCGACCCGCACGACCGCCCGAAACCCGCGAGGGGGCCCUCUUCCUCCCAGCCGCCCGACAGACCCAUUCCUUUCAUUUUUUUCUCUUUUUCUUCUCUUCUUCUUCCUCCACUCCGUCCGGUCGCCCAGAUUCUGCGCCCAGCCCACAUCAAAUCCGCCCAAAACUCCUCCAAAACUCGGAUUUCCUCUCCUUUCCUCCUCAGUCUGUGGUAUUUUCUUCUUCUUUUAUUUUAUUUUUCUUUUCUUUCUUCUUCCUGCUGCUUGUUAACUCUAACUUUUUUUUUGAUUACUUGUACUUUUUGCUAAAAAAAAUCUCAUCAUCCACCUUGAUCUACACUGAUCUUCCAUCUUGCUCAAUUUUUCUUUUGCAUAAAACCCUAGUUUCUUUUUUUUUCUUUUUCUUCCUGCUGUUAACCCCGACUAUGUUCUUCUUUUAUUUUUUUUACUGAUUUCUUGUAUUUUGUGCAGCAUAAUCUUUUCCUUUACCAUGAUCUUUACCAUUGCAUCCUAGAUCUUGCAUUUUGAUUCUAAGUUUAAAAAAAAAAAAAACCCUAGCUGUUAGUUUAUUUAAAAAAAAAAUGCCUAGAACUAAAAAUGCACCUCGUGGACCUUCACAAAGAGAUUAUCAAAAUGAAGAUUUUGAUGCUUUUAACUUUGUAUCUAGAGAAGCUCAAGAUAAAUAUCUUUUAGGUCGUCCCAUUCAACCUUGCUGUAACAUUUAUCAUCUAAACUUUGAUUGUUAUAAACUUUUAGAUAAGCUCACACAAGUUGGAUGGGAUUUCUUUGUUCAAAAUUCGUGACCUUUUUAUCCGGACUUAAUUAGGACUUUUUAUGCAAAUGCCACUUUUAAUUCCGAAUUUAAUACUAUUACUUCCCACUUCCGGGGACGUGUUUUUGCCAUCACUCCUAUCCUUCUUCACACUGUUUUAAACAUUCCAAACGACGGGGUUUGCUAUUACCAAACCAACACUUGGAAUUUUCCCGCAUUUUCUGAAGCGCAACUCCGCAAUCAUUUUCUCUGUGAAGAUUCUACUUCACGCGAAGAUUGCUCUCAUCUUUCCUUUCCUCACCGCCUCGCCCACUUUUCACUUACAAAAGUAGUUCUUCCUCGAGACGGUCACCACAUCGCUGUUCAAAAAAUGGAUAUUUUUCUACUUUAUCAUCUAUUUGCGGACAUCCGAGUUAAUUUGGGGUAUAUCAUCAUUCGCCACAUGGCCGUCGCCAUUUCUCAUCCCUCGCGCUCACUUCCAUAUGGCUCUUUGCUCACCGCUGUCCUCGAGUUCAUGUCGUUUGAUCUUUCCGACGUGAGGCCGAUGAAGUACCCCACUGUCAUUUCUACAGCCACUUUCUCCACUCUCAGCUUCAAGAAAAAUCGUCAUGGCAUUUGGGUAAGGAAACAUGUGAUUGAUUCGCCCAGCGAGCAUGGUGAUGACAUUGACGACGCCGAGGAUGAUCCUAUGCCUUAUGAGCCGCCCCCUCGAGCACCUUCUCCACCAGUUGAGCCGCCGCCACGGGCAUCUCCUCCACCCUUUGAGCCACCCCCUGCUAUGCCUCCGCCUUAUGCUCCUCCUCCUAUGGAUUUUCAAAACCAGGUUUUUACUUGACUUGAUAGGAUGGAAGAACAUAUGCACACAUUACAGACAGACGUUUCCGACAUCAAGGCAUACAUGGACUCUCUUUUUGGACCUUCUAGUGCCUUUUAUGCUGCGUAUGGACCCCACACUGAUCGACCAUCCUCCUCCACUAUGCCUCCACCAGUUUCGCCUACGGAUCAUGAGGACGAUGAAGGGGAUGACGAUGAUGAUGAUGAUUAGCUUAUGUUUCUACCACUUUUAUAUUUUUUUUGUGAUGACAAAGGGGGAGAACUUGCUAUGUGAUAAACUAUGCUAUGCUUGUGAUCUAUUUAUCUUUUAUUAUCACGUAUGCUAUGCUUGUGGUUUAUUAUGUUCUAUUAUGCUAUGUGAACCUCGUUUCCAUUUUGAUUUUUGCCUACAUGAUUGCUUACUUCCUUUAUUGUGAUAUAUGCUAUGCCUAUGAUUGUGUUAUAUGCUUGUUAAUUAUAUGCAUAUAUUUAGGGGGAGUAUUCUACUCUUUUCUAUUCAUUUGGAUAUUAUAUCACAUUAUUUGUCAUCAUCAAAAAGGGGGAGAUUGUUGGCCUAGUGGCCCUAAUCUUCUAUUAGAUUUUGAUGAUAACAAAUAAUUACGAUUAUUGGACUAAUCUUUUAUCUUGAGUUUUGUGUUUUAGAUCUCUCGAUAUUCAAAAAGGAUUCAAGAUGGAAAAUAUCCUAGCACCAAGCUUCACCACUUGAAGCUGUAUUUGCUUCCUUUGUCAAAUAGACAAACUCACUCUCUCCAUUCUUAAUUUGCUUCCUUUUACCUUAUGAUUAGAGUGAGAAAUUUUGAGCUAAGUUUAAACUAUUCAUUUUAUCACCUUAUAGAUCACUUAAACAAAUUCCUAACUUGUGAUUAGGUGAAUAGAAUUUUUAAAUAUUCAAAAACUGCUCAAAUUCUGUGUUCUGUCAAAUUAAAAUUUCUGGACCCUGUUCUGGGCGUCCUAAAGUGGAUCCGAAUCUUUUGAGACCUUUUGGAUCCUCCCUGUUUGCUGUUCGGGUGAUCCAGAAACACCGAGACUAUUUGACUUAACAGGUUGCAUAUCAGCGCGCAAUCUGGGCGCCCAGAUUUUAUGGAAGCAGCGGUGCACGCAAUCUGGACUGUCUGGCAAGAAAGUCAGCACGAGAUCUAGGCGCCCACAACUUUUGAUGGCUCGAAUCCAGAAAAACGGCGCGUGUCAGAAAAGCGGUUCCUCGUGUUCUUUGCGCCCACAACUUUUGACGGCCCAGAACUUACGAAGUCAAGAAAAGCUGCGAGUGUCAGAAAAGCUGUCCCUCGAGAUCUGGGCGCCUACAACUUUUGACGGCCCAAACAUACAAAGUCAAGAAAAGCGGCGCACGUGGUCCGACAGGCAGCUGGCGUGCACAAACUUCUGGGCGCCCGGAAACAGUUUUAGGGCGCCCGAAAGUACAACCGACAGAGACUGCCCGAGGCUAUAAAUAGAUGGUAUUGA
rnacentral:lncRNA from 1 species